UGGGGAAUAUUGCACAAUGGGCGCAAGCCUGAUGCAGCCAUGCCGCGUGUAUGAAGAAGGCCUUCGGGUUGUAAAGUACUUUCAGCGGGGAGGAAGGGAGUAAAGUUAAUACCUUUGCUCAUUGACGUUACCCGCAGAAGAAGCACCGGCUAACUCCGUGCCAGCAGCCGCGGUAAUACGGAGGGUGCAAGCGUUAAUCGGAAUUACUGGGCGUAAAGCGCACGCAGGCGGUUGAUUGAGUCAGAUGUGAAAUCCCCGGGCUUAACCCGGGAAUUGCAUCUGAUACUGGUCAGCUAGAGUCUUGUAGAGGGGGGUAGAAUUCCAUGUGUAGGGUGAAAUGCGUAGAGAUGUGGAGGAAUACCGGUGGCGAAGGCGGCCCCCUGGACAAAGACUGACGCUCAGGUGCGAAAGCGUGGGGAGCAAACAGG
rnacentral:rRNA from 1 species